UAAGCAGUUCAUUUGGUGGCUCCUCAACUCAGAGCGUCCCUUCGGUUCGUAUGGAAGCUAGGUGUGCCAUCCGAUCGGCACUACGAUUUCCUUCCCUCUAGUCGAUCCACCUCCCUGUAUCGCUUCGACAGCCCAUCGAGCAUCUACUUCGACUACUAAGUUUGUCGCUCCCAGGGUUUUCGCAAGACCACCUGCGGUAGCCAUACCCGUGCUU